rnacentral:rRNA from 1 species
GUGCUUCUGAGAUUCUGAUGUUAGCGGCGGACGGGUGAGUAACACGUGGAUAACCUACCUAUAAGACUGGGAUAACUUCGGGAAACCGGAGGUGUCUAAUACCGGAUAAUAUUUUGAACCGCAUGGUUCAAAAGUGAAAGACGGUCUUGCUGUCACUUAUAGAUGGAUCUUUCGCGCUGCAUUAGCUAGUUGGUUUAAGGUAACGGCUUACCAAGGCAACGAUGCAUAGCCGACCUGAGAGGGUGAUCGGCCACACUGGAACUGAGACACGGUCCAGACUCCUACGGGAGGCAGCAGUAGGGAAUCUUCCGCAAUGGGCGAAAGCCUGACGGAGCAACGCCGCGUGAGUGAUGAAGGUCUUCGGAUCGUAAAACUCUGUUAUUAGGGAAGAACAUAUGUGUAAGUAACUGUGCACAUCUUGACGGUACCUAAUCAGAAAGCCACGGCUAACUACGUGCCAGCAGCCGCGGUAAUACGUAGGUGGCAAGCGUUAUCCGGAAUUAUUGGGCGUAAAGCGCGCGUUUAGGCGGUUUUUUAAGUCUGAUGUGAAAGCGAGACCACGGCUCAACCGUGGAGGGUCAUUGGAAACUGGAAAACUUGAGUGCAGAAGAGGAAAGUGGAAUUCCAUGUGUAGCGGUGAAAUGCGCAGAGAUAUGGAGGAACACCAGUGGCGAAGGCGACUUUCUGGUCUGUAACUGACGCUGAUGUGCGAAAGCGUGGGGAUCAAACAGGAUUAGAUACCCUGGUAGUCCACGCCGUAAACGAUGAGUGCUAAGUGUUAGGGGGGUUUCCGCCCCUUAGUGCUGCAGCUAACGCAUUAAGCACUCCGCCUGGGGAGUACGACCGCAAGGUUGAAACUCAAAGGAAUUGACGGGGACAAG